AUUGAACGCUGGCGGCAGGCUUAACACAUGCAAGUCGAGCGAGCGGCGGACGGGUGAGUAAUGUCUGGGAAACUGCCUGAUGGAGGGGGAUAACUACUGGAAACGGUAGCUAAUCCCGGAUCCAAUCAGAUGUGCACAGAUGGGAUUAGCUAGUAGGUGGGGUAAUGGCUCAAAUAGGCGACGAUCCAUAGCUGGUCUGAGAGGAUGACCAGCCACACUGUAAAUGAGACACGGUCCAGACUCCUACGUGAUGCAGCAGUGGGGAAGAUUGCACAAGGGGCGCAAGCAGUAUGCAGUCAUGCCGCGUGUGGGAAGAAGGCCUUCGGGUUGUAAAGCACUUUCAGCGAUGAGGCGUUACUCGCAGAAGAAGCACCGGCUAACUCCGUGCCAGCAGCCGCGGUAAUAC
rnacentral:rRNA from 1 species